GAAUAUUGGACAAUGGGUGCAAGCCUGAUCCAGCCAUGCCGCGUGCAGGAAGAAGGCCUUCUGGGUUGUAAACUGCUUUUACCAGGGGAUAAAAAGCCCAUGCGUGGGAAAUUGAAGGUACCUGGUGAAUAAGCCACGGCUAACUACGUG
rnacentral:rRNA from 1 species